GCAGUUGGGGAGACUGCUUGUCUCCCAAGUGGAGUAGGCGCCACCUCUCAGCCGGGGCUUGGACUGGGUUUGGUGCACGCGGGAGCCCAGCUGACGCACAGCCCCUGUUUGAGAAAGAGCAUCGGCACUUACAGACGAGCCGUCGGGCUUUAGACGGGGCCUCGACCCCCUUAGCGCCCCGUUGCUCUCACCCCCUCCCCUGUGGUGUCCAGGCCACACACAUCCCGGGACGGUCCCUCCCAACCUCUCUGGGUUCGCCCAGGAGCCCGAGCUGUCCUGGAACUGCCAGAGGCAGUGACCGCCUUGGCCCUCCGGCUCCCGUGGAGAGCAGGCAAGACUUUCGCUUGAACAAGUGCGAAAUCUCUCCCCGGCGAGGUCUGCUCCUUGGAACAGAGCAAACGGUUCAUUUCCCCCUCGCUUUGACAGGAGGGUUGCUGGAUUUAGCAAUUAAAAAUACUGACACCAAAUUUAAUUUGAAUUUCAGAUAUCCACAAGUAAUUUUUUAGUAUAAGUAAGUCCCAAAUAUUGUGUGGGACAUUUAACUGGCUUUCCUGAAUUUUAUGUGGCAGACCUGCUGUCAGGGACCAGCGAAGUCGGGUUCAGUGCCACAGGAGAUGAAAUGUGCCUUAACAGUGGGACCUCUGGCUCUUUCUUCCUAAGCAAGGAUGUGGCUGUUCAAACUCCGGGUAUGUUUUUCAGAAGUGUCCCUGCUGUGCGAAGUAGCUAGCGCCUCGAUCUUCAGCAGAAGAAUAACCAGUGGCAGACGAAAGGAUAUGGGACAGUUGCCCUGAGCAGGCUCCAGUGCCACCUCCUCCAGGAAGCUGUCUGGGAUUACUCCAGCCAUCCUCAUCAUCUGACCUCCAAUAGCAUCUCCCAGGAGCCCGAGGAAUCUGCAGCAGGCCUUUUAGCCUAGAGCAGGUAAGUGUAUGGUGGGUAGGACCUCACAGGUAUUGCAGUCAGACAGUCCUAGAUGAGAAACCUCUCUGCCAUCUAACCUCCGAAGUAAACCUGGGCAAGAGACCACCCCUCUUGGGGCCUCAGUCAUUCAUCGUCACAGUCCUCGCCACCACUGUUGUUAAUGGUAGCCAUGAUAACAGUGGUCACCAUGAUGCAACGCCGUCUCUGUCCCAUGUUUACAGUGGGCAGUGCUUCCAUUUGGAUCCCCCCAGAAGGAGACACUGAGACAAGGAACUGGGGCAAGGUGUUCAUUUGGGAGGUGACCCCAGGAGCUUGGUGAGGGAGUGGGGAAAUGACACGGACGGAGCCAUGCCAUUGGGUGGGGUAAAUGAACAGGGAGUCGCCGCCCCAGCCCAUCUGGGCUCCAUCCACUGAGGGCCUGCCUCUCCGUGGCUGGAGGUCGCUCCUGCCUGAUGGACCGGGAGGCCUGCCUGCAGCCUUGGAGGGGGGGCUGCCUGCAGGUGACCAGUAGCAAGGCCUGCCUGCAGCCUUGGAGGGGGGGCUGCC